CAAAGGUCGGUGGAGUGGUGGUCGUCAGGUGGAGAGUGAGGUGCAGCAGAAGGGACACUACGUCACUCCAAGGCUGGACCUUGAACCAUCUGCAGUUCCCAUAUAUGGAAUGCUCCCUCUCAGAACCCAGAUGCCAUGUUGUGAGGGAGCCCAAGCUGCAUGAGGAGACACAAGGAGGAGCCCCAGGCAGCGGUCAGCACCGACGGCCAGCCGGUCAUCACAGAGCACCGAGAAGAUCUCCCUGUGCUGUGCAGCUGCUUCCCACCAGCUAUCGGAAGGAUCAGAGGUCCUGCGCAUCCCAGAGCACCUGGCUGCUGUGACCGCCCACUUUAUAGAAGCACGUGAAGGAAGAUGAGAUUAGGACACGAUGCACACACAGGAGAGACCAUGUGAGGACACAGGGAGAAGACGGCCGCCUGCCAUCCAAGGAGAGAGGCCUCAGAAGAAACCAACCCUACCGACAGCUUGAUCUUGGACUCCCAGCCUCUGGAAUUGUGAGAAAAUAAAUUUCUGUUAUCU